GCAGUACCGCGGUAAUACAGAGGGUGCGAGCGUUAAUCGGAUUUACUGGGCGUAAAGCGUGCGUAGGCGGCUUCUUAAGUCGGAUGUGAAAUCCCUGAGCUUAACUUAGGAAUUGCAUUCGAUACUGGGAAGCUAGAGUAUGGGAGAGGAUGGUAGAAUUCCAGGUGUAGCGGUGAAAUGCGUAGAGAUCUGGAGGAAUACCGAUGGCGAAGGCAGCCAUCUGGCCUAAUACUGACGCUGAGGUACGAAAGCAUGUGGAGCAAACAGGAUUAGAGACCCCUGUAGUCCCUGUCUCUUAUACA
rnacentral:rRNA from 1 species